rnacentral:rRNA from 1 species
UACGUAGGGGCGCGAGCGUUGUCCGGAAUUACUGGGCGUAAAGAGCUCGUAGGCGGUUUGUCGCGUCGUCCGUGAAAACUCACAGCUUAACUGUGAGCUUGCGGUCGAUACGGGCAGGCUAGAGUUCGGUAGGGGAGACUGGAAUUCCUGGUGUAGCGGUGAAAUGCGCAGAUAUCAGGAGGAACACCGGUGGCGAAGGCGGGUCUCUGGGCCGAUACUGACGCUGAGGAGCGAAAGCGUGGGGAGCGAACAGG